rnacentral:rRNA from 1 species
CAGCUAAGGUCCCCAAAUAUAGCUAAGUGGGAAACGAAGUGGGAAGGCUAAAACAGUCAGGAGGUUGGCUUAGAAGCAGCCACCUUUAAAGAAAGCGUAAUAGCUCACUGAUCGAGUCGUCCUGCGCGGAAGAUGUAACGGGGCUAAGCUAUAUACCGAAGCUGCGGAUGCGUGCUUUGCACGCAUGGUAGGAGAGCGUUCUGUAAGCCUGCGAAGGUGUCUCGGAAGGGAUGCUGGAGGUAUCAGAAGUGCGAAUGCUGACAUGAGUAGCGAUAAAGGGGGUGAAAGGCCCCCUCGCCGUAAGCCCAAGGUUUCCUACGCAACGUUCAUCGGCGUAGGGUGAGUCGGCCCCUAAGGCGAGGCAGAAAUGCGUAGCUGAUGGGAAGCAGGUCAAUAUUCCUGCACCAUUGUUAGAUGCGAUGGGGGGACGGAUCGCGGAAGGUUGUCCGGGUGUUGGAAGUCCCGGUCGCUGCAUUGGAGAAGGCGCUUAGGCAAAUCCGGGCGCAGGAUUCAAGGGUGUGGCGCGAGCUCCUUAGGGAGCGAAGCAAUUGGAAGUGGUUCCAAGAAAAGCCUCUAAGCUUCAGUCUAACGAUGACCGUACCGCAAACCGACACAGGUGGGCGAGAUGAGUAUUCUAAGGCGCUUGAGAGAACUCGGGAGAAGGAACUCGGCAAAUUGGUACCGUAACUUCGGGAUAAGGUACGCCCUUGUAGCUUGAUGCCCCUGCGGGCAAAGGGUGAAGGGGUUGCAAUAAACUGGUGGCUGCGACUGUUUAAUAAAAACACAGCACUCUGCAAACACGAAAGUGGACGUAUAGGGUGUGACGCCUGCCCGGUGCCGGAAGAUUAAAUGAUGGGGUGCAAGCUCUUGAUUGAAGUCCCGGUAAACGGCGGCCGUAACUAUAACGGUCCUAAGGUAGCGAAAUUCCUUGUCGGGUAAGUUCCGACCUGCACGAAUGGCGUAACGAUGGCCACACUGUCUCCUCCCGAGACUCAGCGAAGUUGAAGUGUUUGUGAUGAUGCAAUCUACCCGCGGCUAGACGGAAAGACCCCAUGAACCUUUACUGUAGCUUUGCAUUGGACUUUGAACCGAUCUGUGUAGGAUAGGUGGGAGGCUAUGAAACCGGAACGCUAGUUUCGGUGGAGCCGUCCUUGAAAUACCACCCUGGUUUGUUUGAGGUUCUAACCUUGGCCCGUGAUCCGGGUCGGGGACAGUGCAUGGUAGGCAGUUUGACUGGGGCGGUCUCCUCCCAAAGCGUAACGGAGGAGUACGAAGGUACGCUAGGUACGGUCGGAAAUCGUGCUGAUAGUGCAAUGGCAUAAGCGUGCUUAACUGCGAGACCGACAAGUCGAGCAGGUGCGAAAGCAGGUCAUAGUGAUCCGGUGGUUCUGUAUGGAAGGGCCAUCGCUCAACGGAUAAAAGGUACUCUGGGGAUAACAGGCUGAUACCGCCCAAGAGUUCAUAUCGACGGCGGUGUUUGGCACCUCGAUGUCGGCUCAUCUCAUCCUGGGGCUGUAGCCGGUCCCAAGGGUAUGGCUGUUCGCCAUUUAAAGAGGUACGUGAGCUGGGUUUAAAACGUCGUGAGACAGUUUGGUCCCUAUCUGCCGUGGGCGUUGGAUAUUUGAAGGGGGCUGCUCCUAGUACGAGAGGACCGGAGUGGACGAACCUCUGGUGUACCGGUUGUCACGCCAGUGGCAUCGCCGGGUAGCUAUGUUCGGAAGAGAUAACCGCUGAAAGCAUCUAAGCGGGAAACUCGCCUUAAGAUGAGAUAUCCCUGGGGACUAGAUCCCCUUGAAGGGUCGUUCGAGACCAGGACGUUGAUAGGUCAGGUGUGUAAGCGCAGUAAUGCGUUCAGCUAACUGAUACUAAUUGCCCGUAAGGCUUGAUCCU